rnacentral:rRNA from 1 species
AUUGAACGCUGGCGGCAGGCCUAACACAUGCAAGUCGAGCGGAGCGGCGGACGGGUGAGUAAUGCCUAGGAAUCUGCCUGGUAGUGGGGGAUAACGUCCGGAAACGGGCGCUAAUACCGCAUACUAUCAGAUGAGCCUAGGUCGGAUUAGCUAGUUGGUGGGGUAAAGGCCGACCAAGGCGACGAUCCGUAACUGGACGGAGAGGGUGAUCAGGCACACUGGAACUGGGUCACUGCCCAGACGCAUACGGGAGGCGGCAGUGGGGAAUAUUGGACAAUUGGCGAAAGCCUGAUGCAGCCAUGCCGCGUGUGUGAAGAAGGUCUUCGGAUUGUAAAGCACUGUAAGUUGGGAGGCGUUACCAACAGAAUAAGGACCGGCUAACUUCGUGCCAGCAGCCGCGGUAAUAC